UACGAAGGGGGCUAGCGUUGCUCGGAAUUACUGGGCGUAAAGCGCACGUAGGCGGCUCUUUAAGUCGGGGGUGAAAUCCUGGAGCUCAACUCCAGAACUGCCUUCGAUACUGGCGAUCUUGAGUCCGGAAGAGGUGAGUGGAACUCCUAGUGUAGAGGUGGAAUUCGUAGAUAUUAGGAAGAACACAGUGGCGAAGGCGGCUCACUGGUCCGGUACUGACGCUGAGGUGCGAAAGCGUGGGGAGCAAACAGG
rnacentral:rRNA from 1 species